UCUCUUGUGUCUUGUUCCUCCAAGAAACAAAAUUCGGUAUCCUUAUCCACCGCUGAAGCGGAAUACAUUGCCACCGGAUCAUGUUGUGCUCAAUUACUAUGGAUGACCCAAACCCGUAAGGAUUAUGGGAUACAUGUGAAACAUGUUCCAUUGCUUUGUGAUAAUGAGAGUGCUAUUAAGAUUGCUCACAAUCCCGUGCAACAUUCUCGAACUAAGCAUAUUGAAGUUCAUCAUCAUUUCAUUCAAGAUCAUGUUGCUAAAGGAGACAUCAAUCUUACGCAUGUUCAUACCGAUAAGCAAUUGGCGGAUAUAUUCAUCAAACCGCUUGAUGAGAAAGUAUCUUGCCAUUUGAGAGGUGAAUUGAACAUCAUUGAUGCCUCAAACUUGGAGUAG
rnacentral:rRNA from 1 species